UAAACUUCAACAAUGUAGUACACUUUAAUUUUAAAAUAGUUGUUCAACUUCAAAAGAUUGAAAUUUCGGCAACAUUAACUACAACAACCAGAAAACAAAAUCAUUAGUUGACUACAUACAUGAAUUGUCUCCAACAAUUGAUGGUUCAUAAUAUUGGUAGUUAAUGGCUUGUUCCUUCUUGUGAAAAAAUCAUAUUUUCUUGUAUGAUGACUUCAUGCUUAUCUUCAUCAUCAUCGUUGUCACUGUCAUAUUCUACAAACAAAAGAUUAGUAGUGAGUGUAUCAUAACUUGUAAUAUAAAUAAUUAUUUAAUUGUUAGUAGUUAUUCUUGAAUUAAAAACUAUACCAUCAAAAUCAUGUAACCAACCGUGUGCACACAUAAGAGCUUGAACUAAUGAACUGUAACAUCUUUCAAAGAGCUUAUAUAUUUUUUCAAAACUCGAGCACCAAUUCAGAGACCACAAUUGUUAUUGAAAUGCUUAGUACAUCAGAAGCCAUAUUUGCAGAUAAGGUAGAGACAUAAUCAAAAGGUGAGAUUGAUUAUAGAAGAUGACUCAACGAGGAACUGGAGAUGAUGAAACCCCUACGUGAACAGUAGAGUUAGGGUGGAGGUGUUAGGCAACACAAUAGAGUUAGGGUGGACAGUGGAGGAUAAGUGAUAUGUGGCAGCAGCAGAUCCAGGGUUCGCCCAUGGUUUCCUACUUUCCUUUGUGAACUUUCAUUUCUGAAAGUGAUACUGAAUAUUAUGUGAA
rnacentral:lncRNA from 1 species